AUCAUGUCUCAAGCCUUUUGGCUAAGAUCAAGUGUAGGUAUCUGUUCUUGUCAGUUUAACGUUUGAUACGUCCUCUAUCUAAGGACAAUAUAGUAGACAGUAUAGUAUACCAACUGUCUUUGGUAUACAGAAGGCUUAACCACCUUGGAUUACCAUAUCAUUUGCCUAGUUUCAGUGGCUAUGCAGAAGCUUUAU